AUGCCUUCCCUCGUCGUCGAGAUGACUGGAUUUUGACGAUGGAGUCGGUCUGGUGGCAUAUUUUGCUUAAGUAAACAAUCGUAACUGUGUAGCAUCGAUGUCCAACGGUUGGCUGUGCAAAUCGAAAACAGCGAAGCGUUGGAAAGUAGGAAGCAUCCGAUGAAUAAUUGUGAAGACUUAACAAUUGUUUUAUGAUCAACUAGAGUAUCUUGUUUUUAAACUUUUGGUUUUCGGUUCUGGAGACCAGCAGUGCAUACUGAAAUCACGCUCUGAGGAAAAGUGUCGGUAUUUCAGAUGCUCCUUGCUAGCGACGGGAACUGUAUUGCAAGCCAGGCUUCACGCCCCGGUGUUUUCUGAGUUUCAGUAAAAUGAAAGACAUACUCCUGCCUUCUUUUUCUAGUGCAAAACACCCGAGACUGGGUAAUUUACAAACAACAGAAGUUAUUCUCUCAGUUCUGAAGGGAGGGAAGAAGAAGAUCAAGGCUCCAGAAGAGUCUCACUCUGUCACCCAGGCUGUCCAGUGGCAUGUUCUCCACACAUUGCAACCUCCACCUCCCGGGUUCAAGUGAUUCUUCUGCCUCAGCCUACCAGGUAGCUGGAAUAAUAGGCAUGUGCCAUCACACCCAGCUAAUUUUUUUGUAUUUUUAGUAGAGAGUUUUCACCAUGUUGGCCAGGCUAGGCUCCAAUUUCUAACCUCAGGUGAUCUGCCUGCCUCAGCCUCCCAAAGUGCUGGGAUUACAGGAAUGAUCCAUCUCACCUGGUUGAUUUAUUUCUAUUAUAGGUUGACUCACAUACAUUUUUGAUGUUGGGCAUCUCAUAACCUAAAAAAAAAAAAAAGGCAACUUCCUAUGUAUCAGCUGAACGCACUGCCUAGGACCUCCAGUGCCAUGUUCGGUAGAGACAGUAAUAGAAGCUACCCUUGUCUACGUCCUAACUUUGAUGAAAAUUUCUUCUAAAAUUUUACCAUUAAGUGUGAUAAUUGUUAUAUACUAAGGAAAAUAGGGCCAGGUGUGGUGGUGCACACUUGUAAUCCCAGCACUUUGGAAGGCUUGUGGGGAGGAUUGCUUCAGCCAGGAAGGGGGAGGUUGCAGUGAGCCAAAAUCUUGACACUGCACUCCAGCCUGUGUGACGGAGAGACCUUGUCUCAGAAAAAAAAACCCCAAAAACAAAAAACAAAACAAAACAAAACAAAAAAAAGGAUGCUAGCUUGCUAAUAGUGCAUUAUGUGUUGACUCUGUCCUUGCAUUAUUGAAAUAUAACCUAAUUCGCCAUGAUGCAUUAUGUGUGUGUGUACAUUACUGCAUUUGACUUGGUAUUAUUUUAUAUAA